GACGUAGGGUGCAAGCGUUGUCCGGAAUUAUUGGGCGUAAAGAGCUCGUAGGCGGUUUGUCGCGUCGAAUGUGAAAACCCGGGGCUCAACCCCGGGCCUGCAUUCGAUACGGGCAGACUAGAGUUCGGUAGGGGAGUCUGGAAUUCCUGGUGUAGCGGUGAAAUGCGCAGAUAUCAGGAGGAACACCGGUGGCGAAGGCGGGACUCUGGGCCGAUACUGACGCUGAGGAGCGAAAGCGUGGGGAGCGAACAGG
rnacentral:rRNA from 1 species